UACGAAGGGUGCAAACGUUGCUCGGAAUUAUUGGGCGUAAAGCGCACGUAGGCGGCUUUUCAAGUCGGAUGUGAAAUCCCUCGGCUUAACCAAGGAAGUGCAUCCGAAACUGGAAGGCUUGAGUACUUAAGAGGAUCGCGGAAUUCCCGGUGUAGAGGUGAAAUUCGUAGAUAUCGGGAGGAACACCAGUGGCGAAGGCGGCGAUCUGGGAAGAUACUGACGCUGAGGUGCGAAAGCGUGGGGAGCGAACAGG
rnacentral:rRNA from 1 species